ensembl:lincRNA
AUUAAAGAGACAAGAAACAAAGCAGAGAGCAGGCUCAGGGAUUUUCUUCCCUGACACAGACAGCAGAGCAUUUGGGACACAGAGCUCAACGACAGUUUGAGUGCUUAGUGCUGUUCUGGAAACUGUCCACAGGCAGUCUAAUGGCCCUGCUGCACAGCACAAAGCUGCCAGCCAAGUGCCACAAAGGAUGCACGAGCCUUAUCUCUGCUGAAGCUGUGACUGAUGUCUACCUGGGUCUCUGAUGCAGCACAUUUGGUGUAUGUAGAGAAAUGGCCAGUCACUUGCUGCACUGAGUGGGAAUCAGGCACUGAGGAGGGCCACUGGGGGUGCCACACUGCCCCAGUGAACAGAACCAUGACAGAUCAGCUCAAGCACGAAGUCAUAACAAUUCCACUGGUUUCCUAAAAGGCCACAGCAUGUGGGAAGCAAUACAACUGCAAUUCUUGAUGCGCGUUUUUAAUGCCUUUGUGUGUGACUGAUGCAGGGAAAGGCUCUGUUUCUAGAGUCACCUGAAAGCGCUCCAGGUACCGGGGCAGCUUGGACUGUUCUGGUUCCUCAGUGUCUAGCUGCUCCACCAGGUCUGCUGAGCCCAAGCCAGCUUCACCUUCCUGGGGCUGUGCCUCUGAAGCCUGGCCAUUUGAAGACGUCACCACCUUCAGGACUCCAUCCAGCACGUCGAGCUGUAGGGCACAGGAGUGUCAGGAUGACAUAUGUUAUAGACGUGACUGUGUGCAGGCCAGAGACAAGGUGCUUGUUCCUUGGUUAUAAUGAUUGAGAAAGAGCAUUAAUGAUAUCAGUAGCUAUCAGCAUAAUGUGCCAUGGCAGACACUGGGUUGAAAGCUGAGGGGUGAGCCUUGGCGUUUCAGGGUCAAGGCUACACAGCAGAGCAGCUCCAAGCUAGGCUAGCUAGCCAGCUUCCAGUGGUUCAUGUCUCUCUGAUUCCCACACGGCCAUUUCCGGACUGUAACUGAACUCCUGUGCCUGGCCUUUUAGGUGGUUCUGGGGGUCUGAACUCGGCAACACUGAAAAUGCUUGUGGUUUCUUUUCAUCCUUUUAAACUGAAUAAAUACCAAUUCUGCACACAUACAGAAAGCAGCGGAAGGAGAAAGACAAUGGAAACAGAUUCAAGUCACCCAGCCACCCUGUGAUGCCUCCGUUUGACUGAGUGGGGGUGUAAGAACAUACCACUUCUCUACCCAGCUUGAGGUCUUCAGGGGAGGAGGCCACCCUCUCCAUCACCUGGAGGGCUCUGUUGAGGUAGCCUGGUGUCCACAUCAGAGGCAUGCCGCAGUAUACAGCCCGCAGCCCACGCUGCAGUUCCACCUUCCCUGUGGCCAAAAGAGCAACAAAGACUGCUCAGCCAUGCCUCCACACUGGGUCUGCAGCCAAAGGCUUGGAAGGCCCCAGCCAACAGCAGCCUAGACAAGGACCUUUACCACGCCACGUGCACCUUAGACGGAAGCUUUGUGAACCUGUGUUAUGCGUUUCCUCUGGCUGGAGAUUCACCAGGGCCCAUGAAUCAUUGGGCUGAGGAAUUUUGAGAGUCUGAUAGAGCUGUUCCUACAGAAGGCCCCCCUAAGACAGAAGAAAAGAUACUACUUAUGUUUCAAGGCCAAACCACGCCCUAAGCAGCAAGGUCACAGCUUUCUACUCUGAGGCCCCUGUGACUACGUGAUGACUUUCCCUGCCAGGAAAUGUCUGACUUGCUUUGAAAAGUGUCACACAUACAAUCUAUUUUCUUUAUGAAUAAGAAAAGGAACUGCCUCCCCCCCUCACUUCCUUGAGUGUUAUCAGUUCUUACAUCAGAGUCCCAGCUACCUUUGAGGUCACAGGGCCAUCUGCAUGAGGGAGAGCCCACUUAGCACUGAUGAGCAAAGUCACCUUGCAUGGCUCGGUCUAAGUCUGCCUCCGCUCAUCUUUCCUGGAAGGGAGGAUUUGGGAAGCUGGAGGAGGAUGUCAGCUUAUCAGGAGGUGGCUAAUUUUAGAUCUUUAAGGUGCUUGGGCUGGACAUGGGUCAUGCUGGGCUGAUGGCCUGAGCCGAGUGAGGCUGUGGAGCAGGGGCAGAGGUAGGGUGUCUGAUGGCAUGGCUGCCUAUCCCAAGGGACCAGGGCCUCUUCUCAUAAGCAACAGUCAAGUCCAUUUUCUUAGCCUCACCAACUUUCUGAAUGAUCUGUGUAAUACGGCAGUCCUGAACACUAAUCUGAACAUCAUCCCACUGGACUGUACAAUCACAUGGGGUCGACAAGUGACUGUCCCUGAGUGUGCUCUCUGACCUUUCUUCCCUCUUCCCUCACCUGGAACCUAGUCAAAGACACAGACGGCUGGGGAAGUACUGGCUAGCAAUCCUGGUAGAUCACCACACGUUUACAUAUGCUGUCCCUUCCUCACACUGAUCAAAAAUAAGUUUUCCUACAGUUAACAGAGCCAGUUCUGAGCUGGUUGGUGGUGACAGGUCUAAUGACAUCCCUUGACCAUCCAUAACUGAGUGUUAUUUUAUUGACUAUAUUUAGAAGUUAUAACUGGAUGUUCACUAGUAAAUUUAAAUGAAGUUUUAAUUCUAUUAAGAGGCAAAAGGCUGUGCCACAUCUUUCUACAAAGAACAGUAUGAACAAGGCUCACGUAGCUUACCAAGAAGUGCACAGCCAUACAGCUGGGAACUCAGGCCCACUGUGUUCCUUUGUUUUAGGCCAGAAAGCAAGAGGGACGCCCCAAAGUCUCUUUCUUCUUCCCACUGCAACAGAAUACAGCAGAUCACUGUCUAUUAAAAUGGAUACUUCAUGCAAAAUGUGAUUUUUAAAAAACUGACAUCAAACAGCAUGUAUUAAGUAAGCUUAUGAAAAUAAAAAAUUGUGUAGAAGUUAUCCCGAUUCUAUAAAUAAAAAGUAUUCAUAUUUAAAAAAAAUCAGAACAGAAAUGCUCUCUAUAUAACUAAGGACUCCUGGGUGGUUUUGGUUUUCUCCUUUGUGCGUCUUUCUCAUGAUUUUCUACAUUUUGGUAAUGACCCAGAGCCUUUUACAGUCAGAAAAGAGAAGAAUAGAGCACUCUGGACCCACACUGACUUGAGAGCAUCAAAGAGGCCCCCAGGCUGCCAGCCUCACAUUUAUCCUGCUCCAGAGGGAGAGAGCGCAACCAGCACAGCAGCGAUGAGACGUCCUCAACAGGGGUAAAGUAAAGUAGGCCAGUGCGUUGCUUUUAGAGAGGUUUGUGCCUCGUAAAGACAACCAGGCAAUCAGAAGCACUUAGUACUGUGUCUUUCAACCUACGGUGCAAAAUUGUAUGUCAAUAAAAUUGAAGCCUUUUGAGGAGACAUGAAAAGAAAAAAAAGGGCAAAGCUACAAGCCUCGUUGGGUCUGCCACACACCAGUAACAAAUGUGACUGGGGUAGUCCUUGAACACUGAGCUCAGAGCUCAGAGGAGGAGGUCUGAAAAGAACCCAGACAACAGGAGCUGUAAUUCUCUAAUGCCCCACACAAGGCAAGAGCUGUAGCCUUUCCCUCAUGGUCUCUGCCCUAAGAAGUUAGUGAUGGUCUGCAGCCACAACUGCUGCCAGGGAGUGAGGCUCCAUGUGGCAUUAAAAGCACAGAUCUGGUCAUGCUUCCUGCAGCACAGGCCCCAGUUCUUGGGAUUUUCCU